UACGUAGGGGGCGAGCGUUGUCCGGAGUUACUGGGCGUAAAGGGCAUGCAGGCGGUCUGGCGCGUUUUGUGCGACAGCGGGGGGCUCAACUCCCCGAGCAUGCGAAAGACGGUUGGACUUGAGGGCUCGAGAGGGACACGGAAUUCCGGGUGGAGUGGUGAAAUGCGUAGAGAUCCGGAGGAACACCAGCGGCGAAGGCGGCAUCCUGGACCGGCAUUGACGCUGAUGAGCGAAAGCCAGGGGAGCAAACGGG
rnacentral:rRNA from 1 species